AUCGAUGAAGAACGCAGCGAAAUGCGAUAAGUAAUGUGAAUUGCAGAAUUCAGUGAAUCAUCGAAUCUUUGAACGCACAUUGCGCCCCUUGGUAUUCCGAGGGGCAUGCCUGUUCGAGCGUCAUUUCAACCCUCAAGCCUGGCUUGGUAUUGGGGCCUGCUGUUACCGGCAGCCCUUAAACGCAGUGGCGGCGCCAUCUGGCUCUAAGCGUAGUAACUUACCCGCUACAGAGUCCCGGUGGAUGCUUGCCAGCAACCCCUAAUUUUCUAUGGUUGACCUCGGAUCAGGUAGGGAUACCCGCUGAACUUAAGCAUAUCAAUAAGCGGAGGAAAAGAAACCAACAGGGAUUGCCUCAGUAACGGCGAGUGAAGCGGCAACAGCUCAAAUUUGAAAUCUGGUCCUUUCAGGGCCCGAGUUGUAAUUUGUAGAAGAUGCUUCGGGUGUGGCUCCGGUCUAAGUUCCUUGGAACAGGACGUCAUAGAGGGUGAGAAUCCCGUAUGUGACUGGUUGCCUUCGCCUAUGUGAAGCUCUUUCGACGAGUCGAGUUGUUUGGGAAUGCAGCUCAAAAUGGGUGGUAAAUUUCAUCUAAAGCUAAAUAUUGGCCAGAGACCGAUAGCGCACAAGUAGAGUGAUCGAAAGAUGAAAAGCACUUUGGAAAGAGAGUUAAACAGUACGUGAAAUUGUUGAAAGGGAAGCGCUUGCAACCAGACUUGCGCGCCGUCGAUCAUCCAGGGUUCUCUCUGGUGCACUCGGCGGUGCUCAGGCCAGCAUCGGUUUCGGUGGUUGGAUAAAGGCCUUGGGAAUGUGGCUCCUCUCGGGGAGUGUUAUAGCCCUCGGUGCAAUGCAGCCUACCGGGACCGAGGACCGCGCUUCGGCUAGGAUGCUGGCGUAAUGGUUGUAAGCGACCCGUCUUGAAACACGG
rnacentral:rRNA from 1 species